AUGACUCCCAGGACUGCACAGCAUGGAGAAUGGCAUAAUAAUAAUAAUAAUAAUAAUAAUAAUAAUAAUAAUAAUAAUAAUAAUAAUAUUUGGCCCAAUGGCCAAACAAUAAGGUGUCACCAGCCAGAGGCCUAUAAAUAUCUGGGCAUAUUACAGCUGGACAACAUCAAGCAUGAACAUGUGAAAACUGUGGUCAGUAAAGAAUACACACAAAAGGUCAGAAAAAUUCUCAAAAGCAAGCUCAAUGGAGGCAACACCAUCAAGGCCAUAAACACCUGGGCCAUACCUGUCAUAAGAUAUACUGCUGGCAUUAUAAACUGGACACAGAUGGAACUGGACAAUUUGGACAGAAAAACAAGAAAACUCAUGACCAUUCAUCAUUCACUGCACCCUCGCAGUGAUGUUGACCGGCUGUAUCUGCCUAGAAGAUCAGGGGGCAGAGGACUGUUACAAGUAAAACAAGCAGUCAAAGAAGAAGAACAUGCCCUGGCAGAAUAUGUAAAACAAAGUGAAGAACCUGCUUUGAUUGAAGUCAAAAAUCAGAAACUCCUCAAAGCACAGCAGACAAAAAACCAGUACAAGAAAACCGCACUACAAACUAGAGCUGACAGCUGGCACAACAAAACACUGCAUGGAAAGUUCCUUGACAAAAUUGAAGGAAAAGCUGAUAAGGAGAAGACCUGGCUCUGGCUCACGAAUGGGACCCUGAAGAAGGAGACAGAAGGCCUGAUCCUUGCAGCCCAGGAGCAAGCCAUCAGAACAAAUGCAAUCAAGGCCAAGAUCGAAAAAUCAGCUGAUGACCCAAAGUGCAGACUGUGCAAGGAAACCGAUGAAACCAUUGAUCAUAUCCUCAGCUGCUGUAAGAAAAUUGCACAGACAGACUACAAACAGAGGCACAACUAUGUGGCCCAAAUGAUUCAUUGGAACCUAUGCCUCAAGUAUCACCUCCCUGCAGUUAAGAACUGGUGGGAUCACAAACCUGCAAAGGUUGUGGAAAAUGAACACGCAAAGAUACUGUGGGACUUCCGAAUCCAGACUGACAAAGUUCUGGAACACAACACACCAGACAUCACAGUUGUGGAAAAGAACAAGGUUUGGAUCAUUGAUGUUGCCAUCCCAGGUGACAGUCGCAUUGAAGAAAAACAACAGGAAAAACUCAGCCGCUAUCAGGACCUCAAGAUUGAACUUCAAAGACUCUGGCAGAAACCAGUGCAGGUGGUCCCAGUGGUGAUGGGCACACUGGGUGCCGUGCCAAAAGAUCUCAGCCGGCAUUUGGAAACAAUAGACAUUGACAAAAUUACGAUCUGCCAACUGCAAAAGGCCACCUUACUGGGAUCUGCACGCAUCAUCCGAAAAUACAUCACACAGUCCUAG
rnacentral:lncRNA from 1 species